CCAGGAUGCUGAUGCAGCUCUUCCCAACUCUGCAUUAUCCUCUGACCCAUGGGCUCACUCCAUGACUUGCCCUGAAUGCCAGGUUACAGUCCCAGGGCCAUAUCUGGACUAACCACAUUCUUUGGAUACUUUAGACCAUUUGGCUAAGCUCUCCCUGGCCAGCCAUUGCUACUGGGCCCCUUGCUACAAGUUUUUGCCUAGUUUUUCCUCAUACCCCACUUUGCUGGCCUCCAAGUUGCCCUCCCAUCCCAGCAUGUCUUGCUUUUGAAUUCAUUUACAUUAGGAAGGAGCUAUGAGUUGAGCCAUCCUGAGAGCUGAACUUUGGAAAGAAACUGAAUUAAAUAUUUUAAAAUCAAAGAACGUAAUCUUAAUUUCCUAUCCACUUGAGGUACUGAAGGAUUUUUAACACCUUUAAGGAAGAAAAAAGCUCAGGUUACAGCUUUGCUUGAUUUGCUUUGAAUGAAAUUGCCCAGUUUCUCCUGCUUUUUUUUUUUGUUGUUCUGGGCUAUCUGAUACUGAACCAUAUAGCCUGAAAUUGAGUUUUGUGCUCAAAUUUGAGAGAGAGAGCGAGACACAAGAGCAAGUAUUUGUAAAACUUGGGGAAAACAAGGGCAGCAGCAGUUACUUUCGUUAUCCCUAUUGCUGUAACCCUGGAAUUUUGGGUUCCUUGGUCAGUUGCAGUAUCAUCAGAACCUGGUAAAGCAGAACCUACCACCAACCCCAGUAGUCCUAAUAAUUUACCCUGGGUCUCACCCACAUCAUCAUUCUCCUAAAUGUAAGAAGGAACUCAAAGUUCAAGUCAACUGGCCAGGUUGGAAUCCUGAUUCCCAAAUACUUAGAAAAAUCUCUUCCCUCUUCAAUAUAUCAAGAUGUGAGUCUUUCAACAUCUUCCUCCAAGAGUUUAAGAAAUCAUCUCACUCACUAGGUUUAAAUUGAAUCCCUUGAAAUGACUAAUAUCCACUCUCAGUACCUCCAGCAACAGAUGCCAACUGAUAAAUUAUAUCUCCAAAUGCUAAUCACAUAUGAGCCUGGAGGCAUAAAAUGACGGAACCAACAUCUUUGUGGGCCAUCCCAGCUAGUGUGGCAGAGAGAAACGAGCUUGAGAUUUGAAGCCAGAGGACCUUGGCUAUUUGGAAGAAUGCGAUUCAGGUACUUCCAGUCAGAUACAUCCGUGCAAGACUUGGAUAGAGAAGUAACAUAAGGAGGCAGCUGUGGGAAGACUGACCAUCUGGUAAGCGAUGGUGGAGGUAUCUGGUUCUUCUGGGGCUCCUGUGGCAGAGUUUUGGCAUCCAGUCCCAUGUGUGUUCUGGGACAAGUGGCCGGUGGCCAAGGUGGCUAGUCUUUCCUGUGAUUAUUGCUUGUGGAUGGUUUCAAGAUAUGCACCAUUUAGAUGGAAUUCUUUGGUUUCUCUAGAAAUUCUGCAAGCUAACCAUAUCCUUUAAUAAAUUACCUUCUGUUUAAA
rnacentral:lncRNA from 10 species